rnacentral:lncRNA from 1 species
UUUUUAAUUUUUAAUGUCCACAUAAGCAAGUAAUUGUCACAUCACAAAAAAUAAAUUUAUCCAACUCUUUUAUACUGUGAUCCGAUCCAAGAUCCGACCCAAGACCUCCUUUAACCUCAAAGAAGAGAAAAGAAACAAUGUUAGUUCUUCCGCCAUUAACGUUAUCCAAUCCUUUUCCCUUGAACGCUAUUCAAUUCCUUUUAACGCUCAAGGGAAAAUGAUUGGAUAGCGAUAGAGGAAAUAUAAUUAAAAGAAAGGAAAGAUUGCACAAUUCCUUUAGAACAAAACCCUGC